AAUCAACGCUGGCGGCGUGCCUAACACAUGCAAGUCGAACGCGAAAGCCCCGCAAGGGGUAAGUAGAGUGGCAAACGGGUGAGUAACACGUGGGUGACCUGCCUUCGAGUGGGGGAUAACGUCCCGAAAGGGACGCUAAUACCGCAUGACAUCCUGCCUUUGAAGAGGCGGAGAUCAAAGACGGUUUUGCUGUCACUUACAGAUGGGCCCGCGGGGCAUUAGCUAGUUGGUGAGGUAAUGGCCCACCAAGGCGACGAUGCGUAGCCGACCUGAGAGGGUGAUCGGCCACACUGGGACUGAGACACGGCCCAGACUCCUACGGGAGGCAGCAGUAGGGAAUCUUCCGCAAUGGACGAAAGUCUGACGGAGCAACGCCGCGUGAGCGAAGAAGGCCUUCGGGUCGUAAAGCUCUGUUGUCAGGGAAGAACAAGUACCAUAGUAACUGAUGGUACCUUGACGGUACCUGACCAGAAAGCCACGGCUAACUACGUGCCAGCCGCCGCGGUAA
rnacentral:rRNA from 1 species